GAUGAACGCUAGCGGCAGGCCUAAUACAUGCAAGUCGAACGGGAUCCAGAUCAAAGCUUGCUUUGGUCUGGUGAGAGUGGCGCACGGGUGCGUAACGCGUGAGCAACCUACCCUUGUCAGGGGGAUAGCCCGGCGAAAGUCGGAUUAAUACCGCAUGACAUCAUUGAGAGGCAUCUUUCGAUGAUCAAAGAUUUAUCGGACAAGGAUGGGCUCGCGUGGCAUUAGCUAGUUGGUAAGGUAACGGCUUACCAAGGCUGCGAUGUCUAGGGGCUCUGAGAGGAGAAUCCCCCACACUGGUACUGAGACACGGACCAGACUCCUACGGGAGGCAGCAGUAAGGAAUAUUGGUCAAUGGACGGAAGUCUGAACCAGCCAUGCCGCGUGCAGGAGGACGGCCCUAUGGGUUGUAAACUGCUUUUAUACGGGAACAAACGUCGGUACGUGUACCGGUCUGAGUGUACCGUAAGAAUAAGGAUCGGCUAACUCCGUG
rnacentral:rRNA from 1 species